AUUGAACGCUGGCGGCAUGCUUUACACAUGCAAGUCGAACGGUAACAGGCCGCAAGGUGCUGACGAGUGGCGAACGGGUGAGUAAUGCAUCGGAACGUGCCCAGUCGUGGGGGAUAACUACUCGAAAGAGUAGCUAAUACCGCAUACGAUCUAUGGAUGAAAGCGGGGGACCGUAAGGCCUCGCGCGAUUGGAGCGGCCGAUGUCAGAUUAGGUAGUUGGUGGGGUAAAGGCUCACCAAGCCAACGAUCUGUAGCUGGUCUGAGAGGACGACCAGCCACACUGGGACUGAGACACGGCCCAGACUCCUACGGGAGGCAGCAGUGGGGAAUUUUGGACAAUGGGCGCAAGCCUGAUCCAGCAAUGCCGCGUGCAGGAAGAGGGCCUUCGGGUUGUAAACUGCUUUUGUACGGAACGAAACGGCUCUGGUUAAUACCCGGGGCUAAUGACGGUACCGUAAGAAUAAGCACCGGCUAACUACGU
rnacentral:rRNA from 1 species